CGAAAGGAACGCUAAUGCCGCAUACGUNCCUACGGGAGAAAGCAGGGGACCUUCGGGCCUUGCGCUAUCAGAUGAGCCUAGGUCGGAUUAGCUAGUUGGUGAGGUAAUGGCUCACCAAGGCGACGAUCCGUAACUGGUCUGAGAGGAUGAUCAGUCACACUGGAACUGAGACACGGUCCAGACUCCUACGGGAGGCAGCAGUC
rnacentral:rRNA from 1 species